rnacentral:tRNA from 1 species
UGGAAUGUAAUUUGCCGAAGCUACUGGUAUUCCAGUGUUUUCAGAACCCUAUAUUCAGUCUGGGGGACAAGUGGUCGCUGGUUCAAAUCCAGCCGUCCCGACCA